rnacentral:rRNA from 1 species
AGUGAACGCUGGCGGUAGGCCUAACACAUGCAAGUCGAACGGCAGCACAGGAGAGCUUGCUCUCUGGGUGGCGAGUGGCGGACGGGUGAGGAAUACAUCGGAAUCUACUCUGUCGUGGGGGAUAACGUAGGGAAACUUACGCUAAUACCGCAUACGACCUACGGGUGAAAGCAGGGGACCUUCGGGCCUUGCGCGAUUGAAUGAGCCGAUGUCGGAUUAGCUAGUUGGCGGGGUAAAGGCCCACCAAGGCGACGAUCCGUAGCUGGUCUGAGAGGAUGAUCAGCCACUCUGGAACUGAGACACGGUCCAGACUCCUACGGGAGGCAGCAGUGGGGAAUAUUGGACAAUGGGCGCAAGCCUGAUCCAGCCAUACCGCGUGAGUGAAGAAGGCCUUCGGGUUGUAAAGCCCUUUUGUUGGGAAAGAAAUCCAGCUGGCUAAUACCCGGUUGGGAUGACGGUACCCAAAGAAUAAGCACCGGCUAACUUCGUGCCAGCCGCCGCGGUAA